rnacentral:tRNA from 1 species
GCUUUUGUAGCCGAACACCUAAGGCGUCGGUCUUGUAAGCCGAAGAUUGGAGAUGGGACCCUCCCUAAAGCA